AGAGUUUGAUCAUGGCUCAGAAUGAACGCUGGCGGCGUGCCUAACACAUGCAAGUCGAACGAGAAAGGUAGCAAUACUGAGUACAGUGGCGCACGGGUGAGUAACACGUGAGAAUCUGCCCUUUAGUGGAGAAUACCUUCGAGAAAUCGAGGUUAAUACUGCAUAAGCCGGAAACGGGAAAGGUGGCCUAAAAGCUACCGCUGAAGGAUGAGCUCGCGGCCUAUUAGUUAGUUGGUGGGGUAAAGGCCUACCAAGGCGAAGAUGGGUAACCGGCCUGAGAGGGUGUACGGUCACACUGGAACUGAGACACGGUCCAGACUCCUACGGGAGGCAGCAGUGGGGAAUAUUGCACAAUGGGCGCAAGCCUGAUGCAGCGACGCCGCGUGGAGGAUGAAGGUUUUCGGAUUGUAAACUCCUGUUAAGUGGGAAGAAAGACGCAUGCUUAAUACGUAUGCGGGAUGACGGUACCACUAGAGAAAGCACCGGCAAACUUCGUGCCAGCAGCCGCGGUAAUACGAAGGGUGCGAGCGUUAUUCGGAAUGACUGGGUGUAAAGAGCGUGUAGGCGGUUUGGUAAGUCAGCUGUUAAAGAACCCAGCUUAACUGGGGACAUGCGGUUGAAACUGCUAGGCUAGAGUACGAGAGAGAAAGGUAGAAUUCUCGGAGUAGCGGUAAAAUGCGUAGAUCUCGAGAGGAAUACCGGUUGCGAAGGCGGCCUUUUGGCUCGUAACUGACGCUUGAGCGCGAAAGCGUGGGGAGCAAACAGGAUUAGAUACCCUAGUAGUCC
rnacentral:rRNA from 1 species